rnacentral:rRNA from 1 species
UACGUAGGGUGCGAGCGUUAAUCGGAAUUACUGGGCGUAAAGCGUGCGCAGGCGGUCUGUUAAGACCGAUGUGAAAUCCCUGGGCUUAACCUGGGAACUGCAUUGGUGACUGGCAGGCUUUGAGUGUGGCAGAGGGAGGUAGAAUUCCACGUGUAGCAGUGAAAUGCGUAGAGAUGUGGAGGAAUACCGAUGGCGAAGGCAGCCUCCUGGGCCAACACUGACGCUCAUGCACGAAAGCGUGGGGAGCAAACAGG